AAGUGGGCGAACGGGUGAGUAACACGUGAAUAACCUACCUCAAAGUCUGGGAUAACCAUUGGAAACAGUGACUAAUACCGGAUAAAACCCAGGUGCACAUGCACCAAGGUUAAAAGCUGCGUUUGCAGCGCUUUAAGAUGGAUUCGCGGUGCAUUAGUUAGUUGGUGAGGUAAAGGCUCACCAAGACGAUGAUGCAUAGCCGAGUUGAGAGACUGACCGGCCACAUUGGGACUGAGACACGGCCCAAACUCCUACGGGAGGCUGCAGUAGGGAAUCUUCCACAAUGGGCGCAAGCCUGAUGGAGCAACGCCGCGUGUGUGAUGAAGGCUUUCGGGUCGUAAAGCACUGUUGUAUGGGAAGAACGGGUUUAAGAGGAAAUGCUUAAGCAGUGACGGUACCAUACCAGAAAGGGACGGCUAAAUACGUGCCAGCAGCCGCGGUAAUACGUAUGUCCCGAGCGUUAUCCGGAUUUAUUGGGCGUAAAGCGAGCGCAGACGGUUCGAUAAGUCUGAAGUGAAAGCCCACAGCUCAACUGUGGAAUGGCUUUGGAAACUGUCGAACUUGAGUGCAGUAGAGGUAAGUGGAACUCCAUGUGUAGCGGUGGAAUGCGUA
rnacentral:rRNA from 1 species